rnacentral:piRNA from 1 species
UGAGUGAGAGAAUUUUAUCAUGG